rnacentral:rRNA from 1 species
GGGAUUGCCUUAGUAACUGCGAGUGAAGCGGCAAAAGCUCAAAUUUGAAAUCGGCGUCCUUUCCGGGCAUCGAGUUGUAAUUUGGAGGGAUAACUUCGGUACGGACUACAUCGUAAGUUCCUUGGAACAGGACGUCAUAGAGGGUGAGAAUCCCGUGUCUUGGUGUUUGGCCGUGCCAUGUGAAGUGUCUCCGACGAGUCGAGUUGUUUGGGAAUGCAGCUCAAAAUGGGUGGUAAAUUUCAUCUAAAGCUAAAUAUUGGCGAGAGACCGAUAGCGCACAAGUAGAGUGAUCGAAAGAUGAAAAGCACUUUGAAAAGAGAGUUAAAAAGUACGUGAAAUUGUUGAAAGGGAAGCGCUUGCGACCAGACUCGAUCUUUGGUGAUCAGCCGGGCUUCGGUCCGGUGCCCUCACCAUUGAUUGGGCCAGCAUCGGUUCUGACGGCGGGAUAAAAGGAGGAGGAAUGUGGCUCCCUUCGGGGAGUGUUAUAGCCUCCUUCACAAUGCCGCCAGUUGGGACCGAGGACCGCGCUUCGGCUAGGAUGCUGGCGUAAUGGUCUUAAGCGACCCGUCUUGAAACACGGACCAAGGAGUCUAACAUCUAUGCGAGUGUUCGGGUGGAAAACCCUUGCGCGUAAUGAAAGUGAACGGAGGUGUGAACCCUUUACCGGGUGCAACAUCGACCGGUCCUGAUGUCUUCGGAAGGAUCUGAGUAAGAGCAUAGCUGUUGGGACCCGAAAGAUGGUGAACUAUGCCUGAAUAGGGUGAAGCCAGAGGAAACUCUGGUGGAGGCUCGCAGCGGUUCUGACGUGCAA